AUAUUGGACAAUUGGGGCAACCCCUAUCCAGCCAUGCCGCGUGUGUGAAGAUGGUUUUUGCAUUGUAAAGCACUCUAAGUUGGGAGGAAGGGCUUUUGGCUCAUAUCCUGAAGUUUUUACGUUACCAAUAGAAUAAGCACCGUCUAUCUCUGUCCCCGCAGCCGCGGUAAUACAGAGGGUGCAAGCGUUAAUCGGAAUUACUGGGCGUAAAGCGCGCGUAGGUGGUUCGGUAAGAUGGGUGUGAAAUCCCCGGGCUUAACCUGGGAACUGCUUUCAUAACUGCUGAGCUAGAGUACGGUAGAGGGUAGUGGAAUUUCCUGUGUAGCGGUGAAAUGCGUAGAUAUAGGAAGGAACACCAGUGGCGAAGGCGACUACCUGGACUGAUACUGACACUGAGGUGCGAAAGCGUGGGGAGCAAACA
rnacentral:rRNA from 1 species